AUGAAAAGAUUUUUCAGAUUUGGAGAGGGCACUGUUGUUCCACUUGUUCUUGACUGGUCAAUUAGCGACGGGAGAUGCCCGCCGGUGCCGCAGGGUGUUGACAAGGCAAAUAUUGAUCCCUACGGCGCAUGUGUUAGCACCCAGAGCUACUGCGUUAAUGCUAGCAACAGCGCGACGGGCUAUUUCUGCAACUGCUUAGAGGGAUACACCGGCAAUCCAUACAUAAAAAAUGGAUGCAAGAGUAUGUACACUUCCCUGCUCAUUUGA
rnacentral:rRNA from 1 species